rnacentral:rRNA from 1 species
CGGGGUGAGUAACGCGUGGAUAACCUGCCUCACACUGGGGGAUAACAGUUAGAAAUGCUGCUAAUACCGCAUAAGCGCACAGUACCGCAUGGUACAGUGUGAAAAACUCCGGUGGUGUGAGAUGGAUCCGCGUCUGAUUAGCCAGUUGGCGGGGUAACGGCCCACCAAAGCGACGAUCAGUAGCCGACCUGAGAGGGUGACCGGCCACAUUGGGACUGAGACACGGCCCAA